AUGAACGCUGGCGGCGUGCUUAACCCAUGCCAGUCGAACGAUGAAGCCCAGCUUGCUGGGUGGAUUAGUGGCGAACGGGUGAGUAACACGUGAGUAACCUGCCCUUGACUCUGGGAUAAGCCUGGGAAACUGGGUCUAAUACUGGAUAUGACUUCUCAUCGCAUGGUGGGGGGUGGAAAGAUUUAUUGGUCUUGGAUGGACUCGCGGCCUAUCAGCUUGUUGGUGAGGUAAUGGCUCACCAAGGCGACGACGGGUAGCCGGCCUGAGAGGGUGACCGGCCACACUGGGACUGAGACACGGCCCAGACUCCUACGGGAGGCAGCAGUGGGGAAUAUUGCACAAUGGGCGCAAGCCUGAUGCAGCGACGCCGCGUGAGGGAUGACGGCCUUCGGGUUGUAAACCUCUUUCAGUAGGGAAGAAGCGAGAGUGACGGUACCUGCAGAAGAAGCGCCGGCUAACUACGUG
rnacentral:rRNA from 1 species